UGUUGGGUUGGCAAAAAAAUUUUGUUCAGGUUUUUCUGUAAGAUGUUAUGGAAAAAGCUGAACGAACUUUUUGGCCAACCCAGUAGUAU
rnacentral:miRNA from 1 species